GGGCCAAUGAGCUGCUUCUUGGCCUAGUUCCAGAUUUUUUUUUUUUGAAUCUGAUGAGUUAAUGGACCACGCUGAAAUCAGCAUGUCUCGAGAAAUUUAAUGGUCCCAGCAAGAAAUUUUUUUAUUAGGCCCUAGCCUGUUUACUAGGACCGAUUUUUGCUAAGACAUAAGGAUUAAUAUGUUUUCACUAUAUGUCAUCCAUGCUGUUAUGAGUUAGCAUGCUUGGCACCCGACAAUCUCAUGGCCGGGAACUACCAAUGCCAAGGCCAGCAGCAAGGCAAAGUCCCAUCCCUCACCAUAGC
rnacentral:lncRNA from 1 species